rnacentral:rRNA from 1 species
GCUCGUAGUUGGAUUUCGGAGCGGCGCGGUUGGUCNGCCGCAAGGUAUGUCACUGACCGCGCUGUUCUUCUUCGCCAAGACUGCCCGUGCUCUUAGUUGAGUGUGCGCAGGAUUCGCGACGUUUACUUUGAAAAAAUUAGAGUGUUCAAAGCAGGCUUGUGCUUGAAUACAUAAGCAUGGAAUAAUGGAAUAGGACUUUGGUUCUAUUUUGUUGGUUUCUCGAACCGAAGUAAUGAUGAAUAGGGACAGUUGGGGGCAUUCGUAUUUCGUUGUCAGAGGUGAAAUUCUUGGAUUUACGAAAGACGAACUAAUGCGAAAGCAUUUGCCAAGAAUGUUUUCAUUAAUCAAGAACGAAAGUUAGAGGAUCGAAGACGAUCAGAUACCGUCCUAGUUCUAACCAUAAACGAUGCCGACUAGGGAUCGGCGGGUGUUAUUNUAUGACCCCGUCGGCACCUUAUGGGAAACCAAAGUUUUUGGGUUCCGGGGGAAGUAUGGUUGCAAAGCUGAAACUUAAAGGAAU